rnacentral:tRNA from 1 species
GCCCACGUGGUGGAAUUGGUAGACACACUACCUUGAGGUGGUAACGGCGAAAGCCAUGGGAGUUCGAGUCUCUCCGUGGGCACCA